GUGCCAGCAGCCGCGGUAAUACGAAGGGGGCUAGCGUUGCUCGGAAUCACUGGGCGUAAAGGGCGCGUAGGCGGCCAUUCAAGUCGGGGGUGAAAGCCUGUGGCUCAACCACAGAAUUGCCUUCGAUACUGUUUGGCUUGAGUAUGGUAGAGGUCAGUGGAACUGCGAGUGUAGAGGUGAAAUUCGUAGAUAUUCGCAAGAACACCAGUGGCGAAGGCGGCUGACUGGACCAUUACUGACGCUGAGGCGCGAAAGCGUGGGGAGCAAACAGGAUUAGAUACCCCGGUAGUCC
rnacentral:rRNA from 1 species